rnacentral:pre_miRNA from 1 species
AACCGGGUUGAGAUCCUUUGCAGUACUGUAUGGUGUUGUAGUUUGGAUGACAUGUGGGGCCAGGUCCCACAUAGCAGAGACUGUACAACACCGUGCAGUAUUGCAGAGGAUCCUAACCCGUC